rnacentral:rRNA from 1 species
UACGAAGGGGGCUAGCGUUGCUCGGAAUUACUGGGCGUAAAGGGAGCGUAGGCGGAUAGUUUAGUCAGAGGUGAAAGCCCAGGGCUCAACCCUGGAAUUGCCUUUGAUACUGGCUAUCUUGAGUAUGGGAGAGGUUAGCGGAACUCCGAGUGUAGAGGUGAAAUUCGUAGAUAUUCGGAAGAACACCAGUGGCGAAGGCGGACUAACUGGCCCAUUACUGACGCUGAGGCUGGAAAGCGUGGGGAAGCCAACAGGG